rnacentral:rRNA from 1 species
CAGUAGCCGCGGGAAUACGAAGGGUGCAAGCGUUAAUCGGAAUUACUGGGCGUAAAGGGUGCGUAGGCGGUUGUUUAAGUCUGUUGUGAAAUCCCCGGGCUCAACCUGGGAAUGGCAAUGGAAACUGGACGGCUAGAGUGUGUCAGAGGAUGGUGGAAUUCCAGGUGUAGCGGUGAAAUGCGUAGAGAUCUGGAGGAAUACCGGUGGCGAAGGCGGCCCCCUGGACAAAGACUGACGCUCAGGUGCGAAAGCGUGGGGAGCAAACAGGAUUAGAUACCCCGGUAGUCCCUGUCUCUUAUAC